UACGGAGGGUGCAAGCGUUAUCCGGAUUCACUGGGUUUAAAGGGUGCGUAGGCGGAUUAGUAAGUCCGUGGUGAAAUCUCCGAGCUUAACUCGGAAACUGCCAUGGAUACUAUUAAUCUUGAAUGUUGUGGAGGUUAGCGGAAUAUGUCAUGUAGCGGUGAAAUGCUUAGAUAUGACAUAGAACACCAAUUGCGAAGGCAGCUGGCUACACAAAUAUUGACGCUGAGGCACGAAAGCGUGGGGAUCAAACAGG
rnacentral:rRNA from 1 species